GCAACUUUGGUCUAAUGGUUAGGAUCCAAGCCUUCCAAGCUUGGGGUCGGGGUUCGAUUCCCCGGAGUUGCA
rfam:Pseudomassariella vexata strain CBS 129021 BCR38scaffold_4, whole genome shotgun sequence.